AUCUGGAGGACGAGUCCUAAAUAGGACGAAAUGCGCAUCCUCGUGGAU
rnacentral:hammerhead_ribozyme from 1 species